AGCGAACGCUGGCGGCAAGCCUAACACAUGCAAGUCGAACGAAGUCUUCGGACUUAGUGGCGGACGGGUGAGUAACACGUGGGAACGUGCCUUUAGGUUCGGAAUAACUCAGGGAAACUUGUGCUAAUACCGAAUGUGCCCUUCGGGGGAAAGAUUUAUCGCCUUUAGAGCGGCCCGCGUCUGAUUAGCUAGGUGGUGAGGUAAAGGCUCACCAAGGCGACGAUCAGUAGCUGGUCUGAGAGGAUGAUCAGCCACAUUGGGACUGAGACACGGCCCAAACUCCUACGGGAGGCAGCAGUGGGGAAUCUUGCGCAAUGGGCGAAAGCCUGACGCAGCCAUGCCGCGUGAAUGAUGAAGGUCUUAGGAUUGUAAAAUUCUUUCACCGGGGACGAUAAUGACGGUACCCGGAGAAGAAGCCCCGGCUAACUUCGUGCCAGCCGCCGCCGUAAUAC
rnacentral:rRNA from 1 species